UUUCGAGAGGGAAGGAAGGAUUGUUGUAUUGUAGGGCUGCGAGCUAAUUAGGGCUUUGUGUCUAUACUUCUAACCUUGCGUAGAUAUUGUUGAUUAUUGUAG